rnacentral:tRNA from 1 species
GCCUCGGCAGCUUGGCGGGUAGCGCGCCAGCCUUUUAAGCGUUAGGUCGCGGGUUCGAUUCCUGCCCGGGGUG